rnacentral:rRNA from 1 species
UACGGAGGGUGCAAGCGUUAUCCGGAUUCACUGGGUUUAAAGGGUGCGUAGGUGGGCAGGUAAGUCAGUGGUGAAAUCUCCGAGCUUAACUCGGAAACUGCCGUUGAUACUAUUAGUCUUGAAUAUUGUGGAGGUAAGCGGAAUAUGUCAUGUAGCGGUGAAAUGCUUAGAUAUGACAUAGAACACCAAUUGCGAAGGCAGCUUACUACACAACGAUUGACGCUGAGGCACGAAAGCGUGGGGAUCAAACAGG